rnacentral:rRNA from 1 species
GACGUAGGGCGCAAGCGUUGUCCGGAUUUAUUGGGCGUAAAGAGCUUGUAGGCGGUUUGUCGCGUCUGCUGUGAAAAUCCGGGGCUCAACCCCGGACUUGCAGUGGGUACGGGCAGGCUAGAGUGUGGUAGGGGAGACUGGAAUUCCUGGUGUAGCGGUGGAAUGCGCAGAUAUCAGGAGGAACACCGAUGGCGAAGGCAGGUCUCUGGGCCACUACUGACGCUGAGAAGCGAAAGCAUGGGGAGCGAACAGG